CCUACGGGUGGCAGCAGUGGGGACUAUUGGGCAAUGGGCGAAAGCCUGACCCAGUAACGCCGCGUGAAGGAAGCAGGCUUUCGGGUUGUACACUUCUUUUGACAGGGAAGAGCAGAAGACGGUACCUGUCAAAUAAGCCACGGCUAACUACGUGCCAGCAGCCGCGGUAAUACGUAGGUGGCGAGCGUUGUCCGGAUUUACUGGGUGUAAAGGGCGUGUAGCCGGGCUGACAAGUCAGAUGUGAAAUCCGGGGGCUCAACCCCCGAACUGCAUUUGAAACUGUUGGUCUUGAGUAUCGGAGAGGCAGGCGGAAUUCCUAGUGUAGCGGUGAAAUGCGUAGAUAUUAGGAGGAACACCAGUGGCGAAGGCGACUUUCUGGACAGUAACUGACGUUGAGGCACGAAAGUGUGGGGAGCAAACAGGAUUAGAUACCCCAGUAGUC
rnacentral:rRNA from 1 species